CAUGCAAGUCGUGCGAGAAAGUAUCUUCGGAUAUGAGUAGAGCGGCGGACGGGUGAGUAACGCGUAGGAAUCUACCUAGUAGAAGGGGAUAGCCCGAGGAAACUCGGAUUAAUACCGUAUACCUCCUUCGGGAGAAAGAAGGCCUCUCUUUGAAGCUUUCGCUACUAGAUGAGCCUGCGUAAGAUUAGCUUGUUGGUGAGGUAAAGGCUCACCAAGGCUACGAUCUUUAGCGGGUCUGAGAGGACGAUCCGCCACAUUGGGACUGAGACACGGCCCAGACUCCUACGGGAGGCAGCAGUGGGGAAUAUUGGACAAUGGGCGAAAGCCUGAUCCAGCCAUACCGCGUGUGUGAAGAAGGCCCUACGGUUGUAAAGCACUUUAAGUUGGGAAGAAAAGUUAUUGGUUAAUACCCAAUGACCGUGACAUUACCAUCAGAAUAAGGACCGGCUAAUUCCGUGCCAGCAGCCGCGGUAAUACGGAAGGUCCAAGCGUUAAUCGGAAUUACUGGGCGUAAAGCGCGCGUAGGUGGUUUAUUAAGUUGGGUGUGAAAUCCCCGGGCUCAACCUGGGAACUGCAUCCAAAACUGAUUCACUAGAGUACGAUAGAGGGAGGUAGAAUUCACAGUGUAGCGGUGGAAUGCGUAGAUAUUGUGAAGAAUACCAAUGGCGAAGGCAGCCUCCUGGAUCUGUACUGACACUGAGGUGCGAAAGCGUGGGUAGCGAACAGGAUUAGAUACCCUGGUAGUCCACGCCGUAAACGAUGUCAACUAUCUGUUGGAAAGCAUUGCUUUUCAGUGGAGCAGCUAACGUAAUAAGU
rnacentral:rRNA from 1 species